rnacentral:rRNA from 1 species
UACGGAGGGUGCAAACGUUGCUCGGAAUCAUUGGGCGUAAAGAGCUCGUAGGCGGUUUGUCGCGUCUGCUGUGAAAACCCGAGGCUCAACCUCGGGCCUGCAGUGGGUACGGGCAGACUAGAGUGCGGUAGGGGAGAUUGGAAUUCCUGGUGUAGCGGUGAAAUGCGCAGAUAUCAGGAGGAACACCGGUGGCGAAGGCGGGUCUCUGGGCCGAUACUGACGCUGGAGGAGCGAAAGCGUGGGGAGCGAACAGG